UACGAAGGGGGCUAGCGUUGCUCGGAUUGACUGGGCGUAAGGGCGCGUAGGCGGCUUGUACAGUCAGACGUGAAAUUCCUGGGCUCAACCUGGGGGCUGCGUUUGAUACGUAUGGGCUUGAGUUCGGAAGAGGGCCGUGGAAUUCCCAGUGUAGAGGUGAAAUUCGUAGAUAUUGGGAAGAACACCGGUGGCGAAGGCGGCGACCUGGUCCGAUACUGACGCUGAGGCGCGAAAGCGUGGGGAGCAAACAGG
rnacentral:rRNA from 1 species